CCUACGGGGGGCAGCAGUGGGGGAUAUUGCACAAUGGGGGGAACCCUGAUGCAGCGACGCCGCGUGGGUGAAGAAGCGCCUCGGCGCGUAAAGCCCUGUCAGCAGGGAAGAAAAUGACGGUACCUGAAGAAGAAGCCCCGGCUAACUACGUGCCAGCAGCCGCGGUAAUACGUAGGGGGCAAGCGUUAUCCGGAUUUACUGGGUGGAAAGGGGGCGCAGACGGCGAUGCAAGCCAGGAGUGAAAGCCCGGGGCCCAACCCCGGGACUGCUCUUGGAACGGCGUGGCUGGAGUGCAGGAGGGGCAGGCGGAAUUCCUGGUGUAGCGGGGAAAUGCGUAGAUAUCAGGAGGAACACCGGUGGCGAAGGCGGCCUGCUGGACUGCAACUGACGUUGAGGCCCGAAAGCGUGGGGAGCAAACAGGAUUAGAUACCCUUGUAGUC
rnacentral:rRNA from 1 species